UGCUCUCACAGAGAAGCUGUUUGCCUCCCUCUGACCAAGGCAGGACACAUAGCCUUCAUCUCUUCUAAGAGUUGCAUCCUUUUGGUGGAAAAAAGUCUGCAAUGCCCCUUCUGGUGCCAGCAAAGCAGCGUAGAGGUACCAUGGUUAAACUCUGCAGGGUGUGUGUAUGCUAUCAGAGGUGUUAUCAUCUGAUAUUUGUUCCUCUUUAUGAUGUGUGGUGACUCUGGGGAAGUUUUACAGCAGACUGGACUGCGUGUUCAUUGCAGCUUUGGGCUCGUGUGGCCGUGACAGGCUGUGAAAAGUGUCCCAGAGGUUAUACACAGUGUUGUAGGCAUUUUGGCCAAGUUCUUCCCUGGUGCUACUGUUUUAACACAGCAAUGUGCUGUACUCGAUCCAGUCUGCGGAGGUGGGACAAGAAGAUGUGGCAAUUCCCAGAUGUGUGAACCCUGCAGCAGCUGUCCCACUGCAGGUGGUUUGACCCAGCAACACCACGUGUGAAAUAACCACAUGUUAAAGGCUCUGAGCAAAACUGCUUUUUGCUUUUGAGCAAA